rnacentral:tRNA from 1 species
AUCUGGCUGGCUCAGUUGGUAGAGCAUGUGACUCUUGAUCUCAGGGUUGUGAGUUCGAGCCCCACAUUGGGUA